UACUACAGAUAUACAACAACAAAAAACACAUGUAAUGCUAGCGAUAAGUACAGUACAACAUUAACCAUGCUCACAGCUGAUGCCAGUGCUGUGCUGUCUUGACUGUUGUGGUCUGUUUUUGUAAUGGAAAAUCAAAUUUACCAAUAAGAGUCAGUCAAUUCGAAUCAAUCAAGCAAGCAAUAUAUCAAAGCAUCAGUGACUGGCAGGUGGCAGCGUGGUAGGAAGAGCUUGUCCCAUGAAUUCAUCACAAAAAUUGAGGAUUAGCUGAUAACUAUGAAACAAACAUUCUGGAUAAUAUAGAGAAUCUGGAGCUACUUAUUGAUCAGCAUUUUGAUAUGCUCGAAAAAGAAGCGAACAAGAGAAGACCUUUAAUCGAGUUCUGCGAGCGAAACUGAAGAGAAGCCGUCUAAAAUUCCAAAUGUAACAUUGGAGGGGGACGUUUUUAUAACUAUGUCUCCAGAAGAUGGAGCAUUGCUUACAAGUAUGAGCAAGCAGUUAAAAAAACUGGAUCUAUUGCAUGGGCUACUGCGGGAGGUUGAGGCCUUAAAAACAGGAAUGGAUUACAGUAAUAAAAUGCUGGAAGAAAUACGAGCGGAUAAUAAGAUAUUGAAAACUACCGUGGACUCCCUAAAAGACACUACAGAGAGGCUCUGGUAUGAUAAAACAAUGAAAGUCGAAUUACUUGAUCUAAAGUGCAGAAGUAUGAAAAAUAAUAUUGUUCUAAUUGUUAUAAUGGGCAUAAAGGGAAAAAGUCAAGGUGUUCAUGAAAAUUAAUCUCAAGAUGACGGACGAACAGGUGGAAACAAUUGAUUUUCAAACGGGCUCACCGUUUCGGUGGCAGAGCAGAGGGAAGGCCCCGUCCGAUCGUAGCUAUGCUAACCCACUACAACAUGAAAAUUGCCUAGUUACAACAGGGUAGGGGAGAACAUCCCAUUCUCUAUUAAUGAACAAUUUCCUCAUGAAAUAGUGGCGAGACGACGUGCCCUGUACCCCACUUUCAAAAGGCUCCGAGCAGAGAAGCAGAAUGUUCGUCUAGUGGUCGAUAAAUAUGUCAACAACCAAAUGUUCAAGGACUAAAAGAUUACAACGUGGCUGCAAUAUGGAACUUUGGACGUAGUAUCAGGUUUUGAUUCAGGGGAAGGCGAAGAUGGGUGUGAUGUACCGAUCCUGUGCAGGUGUUGUUGCACGU